rnacentral:rRNA from 1 species
UAACUGAAGAGUUUGAUCAUGGCUCAGAUUGAACGCUGGCGGCAGGCUUAACACAUGCAAGUCGAGCGGGGAAGGGUAGCUUGCUACCUAACCUAGCGGCGGACGGGUGAGUAAUGCUUAGGAAUCUGCCUAUUAGUGGGGGACAACAUUCCGAAAGGAAUGCUAAUACCGCAUACGCCCUACGGGGGAAAGCAGGGGAUCUUCGGACCUUGCGC